rnacentral:rRNA from 1 species
GCUUAAUACAUGCAAGUCGAACGAGAAAAUCCGGCUUCGGUUGGAUGAGUAAAGUGGCGAACGGGUGAGUAACACGUGGAUAAUCUGCCUGUGAAUCUGGGAUAAUCCCUCGAAAGGGGGCCUAAUACCGGAUAAUAUUUUCUGGUGGCAUCAUCGGGAAAUCAAAGACGGGGCAACCUGUUGUUUACAGAUGAGUCCGCGGUCCAUUAGCCAGUUGGCGGGGUGACGGCCCACCAAAGCUACGAUGGAUAGCCGGCCUGAGAGGGUGAUCGGCCACACUGGGACUGAGAUAUGGCCCAGACUCCUACGGGAGGCAGCAGUAGGGAAUAUUGCGCAAUGGACGAAAGUCUGACGCAGCAACGCCGCGUGGAUGAUGAAGCAUUUCGGUGUGUAAAGUCCUGUCAGCAGGGAAGAACCGUACGAAAAGUAACUGUUUCGUGCCUGACGGUACCUGCAGAGGAAGUCCCGGCUAACUCCGUGCCAGCCGCCGCAGUAACAC